UGCUGUUGAAAAAGCAUGGGAUGAGCUGUGGAUAGCGGAGAAAUUCCAAUCGAACCCGGAGAUAGCUGGUUCUCUCCGAAAUAGCUUUAGGGCUAGCGUCGAGUAUGAGUAGUGGAGGUAGAGCACUGAAUGGGCUAGGGGGCAUAGCGCUUACCGAACCUUAUCAAACUCCGAAUGCCACAUACUUUGAGCUCGGCAGUCAGACUACGAAUGAUAAGAUCCGUGGUCAAAAGGGAAACAGCCCAGAUCGUCAGCUAAGGUCCCAAAGUGUAAGUUAAGUGGGAAAGGAUGUGAGAUUUCUAAGACAACUAGGAUGUUGGCUUAGAAGCAGCCAUUCAUUAAAAGAGUGCGUAAUAGCUCACUAGUCGAGAGAUCUUGCGCCGAAAAUGUAACGGGGCUAAACUUACCACCGAAGCUACGGGCUUGAACUUAGUUCAAGCGGUAGGAGAGCGUCGUAACCGGGCUGAAGUCGUACCGUAAGGAGCGGUGGACUGGUUACGAGUGAGAAUGUUGGCAUCAGUAGCGAGAUGUGGGUGAGAAUCCCACAGGCCGAAAACCUAAGGUUUCCUCAGGAAGGUUCGUCCGCUGAGGGUUAGUCGGGACCUAAGCCGAGGCCGAAAGGCGUAGGUGAUGGACAACUGGUUGAUAUUCCAGUACCACUACCAUCGUUAUUAUCGAUGGCGUGACGCAGGAGGAUAGUGUGUGCUAGCUAUUGGAUGCUAGUCUAAGCGUUUAGGCAGUGAGAGUAGGCAAAUCCGCUCUCAUAAUGCUGAGGCGUGAUGGGGAAGGUUCUACGGAACCGAAGUACAUGAUUCCACGCUGCCAAGAAAAGCGUCUAGAGAGAGAAGUAGUGCCCGUACCGCAAACCGACACAGGUAGGUGAGGAGAGAAUCCUAAGGCCGGCGGAAGAAUUACAGUUAAGGAACUCGGCAAAUUGACCCCGUAAGUUCGCGAGAAGGGGUGCCUACGAGAGUAGGCCGCAGAGAAUAGGCCCAAGCAACUGUUUAGCAAAAACACAGGUCUCUGCUAAAGCGUAAGCUGAUGUAUAGGGGCUGACGCCUGCCCGGUGCUGGAAGGUUAAGGGGAACACUUAGCGCAAGCGAAGGUGUGAACUUAAGCCCCAGUAAACGGCGGCCGUAACUAUAACGGUCCUAAGGUAGCGAAAUUCCUUGUCAGGUAAGUUCUGACCCGCACGAAUGGCGUAAUGACUUGGGCACUGUCUCAACUGUAAAUCCGGCGAAGUUGUAGUGCGAGUGAAGAUGCUCGCUACCCGCGAUUGGACGGAAAGACCCCGUAGAGCUUUACUGUAGCUUAGCAUUGAGUUUUGGUAUUGUCUGUACAGGAUAGGUGGGAGACUAGGAAACCAGGGCGUCAGCCUUGGUGGAGUCAACCUUGGGAUACCACCCUGACAGUACUGAAAUUCUAACUGGCGGCCAUGAAUCUGGUCACAGGACAUUGUUAGGUGGGCAGUUUGACUGGGGCGGUCGCCUCCUAAAAAGUAACGGAGGCGCCCAAAGGU
rnacentral:rRNA from 1 species